GAAUUGGCAGCUUUCGCUUGAUGGGAUCACAGCAGCCCAGCAGUAGCAAGCAACAUUACAAUCGGAAAGGGCUGAGAAGUAAAAACUUUAUUACUGUGCAACAGAUUUCUCAGGUCUUGAGAAACGAGGUCUCCGAUCCGUCUAAUUCUACGGCUUUCGGCAGCGCGCUCAUAAAUAAGAGUAUUACUGCAAAGAUAUGAAGUAUGGAGUCGUUGGAUCUUGGCUUUGAAGCACUGCCGAGGCAGUAGGAGCCAUUAAGGGCCCCCAAUGAAUCUUUGGUCCAGGCCAAGUGAUCCCCUGAGGAGAUUGUUGGCUUGGGAUAAACAAGGCGACUGGCGAAGUCCCCCGAAGAUGGCCAUUGCCAAAAUUCCUGACAUGCUCCAGUUGCACGCGUGUAAUUUUGCAGCGGAAUAAGAGACGAUGACAGCUUUAUUACGAUGCAUUCGCUGAGUUGAGGCUUUUGCACUGGACAAAGGGAUGCUAUACGAACAGUUCUCUCCAAACAUAUUUUUUGCUUUUUGAUGCAAGUUGGCCCAUUAGGGGAGCAUAAUCACUUACACCAGUCAGUUAGUUAGUUUGUCUCCAGUUAAAUUAAAGCCAUAAAGCACUCGAGCAGAGAAGCCAAUAAUGAGGUUGAGCCCACGAAAUGUUUGAUUGGUGCCAUUGCAUGCAAUGUUCCUUAUCAUUUAGUUAGCCUGGAGUGACUUUCCCUUCAUUCCAUUCGUUCAACUCAAGGAUUGCCAAACUUUUCACAAUAAGAUUAAAAUUGCAUUUCCUGUCUAAAAUGCAACUUCUCUA